rnacentral:precursor_RNA from 1 species
UUCCUUACCAAUCUCCUAAAAUUAGAUAUAGGAGGUGUAGUUCGUACGUUAUCAUGCUGCUAUAAUAUGAAGUGUUCUGGUUGCCAAGUUGGACUAGUCGGUUUAGUUCCUGGACGGAAUCCGACUAGUACAAAUUGGAAAAACAGAACAUUUCUUCAACAUAUGACAUGCGUUGGUCAUCCGUAAAAUGUGCUAGCACGUAUGUUGAAAGAUAGACCUCUGACUCGUACAUGCGUCGGCCUCGUGGAUGGACCAGGAGCUCGACAUUCUUUCAGGUUCGUCCUUCCAACCCAUCCAAGAGCUCGACCUUCCUUAAGGUCGUUCUUUCCGACCCAUACAAGGUUCCGCCGCCUGCAUUGUUCCAAGAGUGUCUUGGACGAAAGCAGGAAGUGGAACCUUGUUAAGGUCGGAACGAACUGCCUUAAGGAAGUCGAUGCUCCAGGUCCGUCCACGAGGACGACGCAGCUAGGAGUUAGAGGUUUAUAUUUGAACACACGAGCUAGCCAUGUGAUCAAAACAUGUUUUUACUUUGCUGUUAAUAUGAUAGUUUAGUUUAGUGGUUAUGAUAGUUUAGUGGAUUUGAACGAAUAUUAAAUUG